AAGCCAACGCGCAGAACCUUACCAGCCUUGACAUCCCGGUCGCGGAUCGCAGAGAUGCUUUCCUUCAGUUCGGCUGGACCGGUGACAGGUGCUGCAUGGCUGUCGUCAGCUCGUGUCGUGAGAUGUUGGGUUAAGUCCCGCAACGAGCGCAACCCCCGUCCUUAGUUGCUACCAUUUAGUUGAGCACUCUAAGGAGACUGCCGGUGAUAAGCCGCGAGGAAGGUGGGGAUGACGUCAAGUCCUCAUGGCCCUUACGGGCUGGGCUACACACGUGCUACAAUGGCGGUGACAAUGGGACGCUAAGGGGCAACCCUUCGCAAAUCUCAAAAAGCCGUCUCAGUUCGGAUUGGGCUCUGCAACUCGAGCCCAUGAAGUUGGAAUCGCUAGUAAUCGUGGAUCAGCAUGCCACGGUGAAUACGUUCCCGGGCCUU
rnacentral:rRNA from 1 species